rnacentral:misc_RNA from 1 species
GUUUCUUGCAACCAUUCAGUACAUGAAUCAUUGCCUUGUCACUAUCCCCAGCAAACGCUAAUGAAAGCAUUUCUAGAUGCUUUGCAUAUUCACCAAUGUAAUAGAAGACCUGAUCUGUAAGAAGGCCUGAGAGAGAUAAACGUCUCAGACCUUUGCACGCUUGAACGAUCGCCCCAAAACCUUCAUCCAGUGCAUUCCCAGUUACAGGGUCCGGUUUUGUGGGAUCGAGGAUGCACAACCUGAAGCGUAUGAAGUUUGGGUUGUUCUUUGCUACAGUUACAAGGGCAGCAUUUGUCAUCUGAUGGCAGAAGUAUAAUAUCGAAUGAAGUUUCGGGCAACCCGUCGAUAUAGCAACCAAACCUUCUUCUGUGACAGCAA